AAUUUGCAGGUUAAACUUGUUGUUAAAAUGAAGUUAAUGUAAUGUUCACAAACAGUAGAGUUAAUGAGUUUUUCCAUUAACAAGAAUUUCUUAAAAUAAUAAUGUAUGGAUAUCAUUUGGAAAGUGACAUGAAAUGUUGUUAAAAAGUGAUGCAUACAAGUGUUUCAGAAGUCUGUCUAGGAAUAGAACAACAACUGAAGCUGACCAGUUGAUGGAAGAUACUGCAGAGUUUGGCAGGGAAAUAACCCAAGACAGCAAAGCGGCUCUUUUGGCGCAUUUACCAAGAGGACUAACGUGGCCACAAAUUCAUGAGAUCAUGCAGGAGCCGUACAGUAUAACAGCAGUACAAGUUCUAUAAAAGAUCCACGACCUACUGAAGCCCAGCUAAUUAACAAAAAAGUUUUUAAAAACUGUAAUUUUAUCCCACCUGGGUACUUAUAAUUUACUAAGCUGCCUUCACAAGUUUUAGACUUGCAAUUAUAUUUUAAACUGUCACUUGGAAAGUAAUACAUGUACAUGCAUUGUGUUCUGAAUUUCUUUGAACAAUAAAAUUAUAUAAAAGUAUUUUAAUGAAAUUGAGCACCUAAAUUGCAUUAAAGUGAAAGUAGCUGAGAAAAAUAGUAUCCUUGUGCUCAUGGGCAUCUACAUAUAUUGUGACAAACAUGAAGUAGCUAAAAUAACUUAAAUUUUUCAUUUUGUUUCUUGUAUAUCGUUUGUACAGGGUUCGUGAAUUGUUACUGUAUAUUACUUGACUUGCUUGUAUUUUGUUACUUUGAAUACAUGUUGUUAAGGUUGCAUUAUACUUUUUAACCUUUAAAGUAGCGCCUGUUCUGUUAUGUAAGGGCCUGAUUUAUGAUAAUGGACCUAGAGGCUUUGUAAGCAUGUAUUAAACAACACUUGUUUGAUCUGAAUAAUUUGUUAAAUAAAUGUAACACAAUUUGUAAUCUGAUGUUAUAUUUUGAUGAAUUGUGAACAAAAUAAUACAUCGAAGAAACUAA